GACGAACGCUGGCGGCGUGCUUAACACAUGCAAGUCGAACGGAAAGGCCCUGCUUGCAGGGUACUUGAGUGGCGAACGGGUGAGUAACACGUGGGUGAUCUGCCCGGCACGUCGGGAUAAGCCUGGGAAAGUGGGUCUAUUACCGGAUAGGCGCGAGUGUGAGUGUGAGGGUUGGAAAGUUUUUUCGGUGUAGGAUGAGCUGGCGGCCUAUCAGCUUGUUGGUGGGGUAAUGGCCUACCAAGGCGGCGACGGGUAGCCGGCCUGAGAGGGUGGACGGCCACACUGGGACUGAGAUACGGCCCAGACUCCUACGGGAGGAAGCAGUGGGGAAUAUUGCACAAUGGGCGCAAGCCGGAUGCAGCGACGCCGCGUGGGGGAUGACGGCCUUCGGGUUGUAAACUCCUUUCGCUAGGGACGAAGCUUUUUGUGACGGUACCUAGAGAAGAAGCACCGGCUAACUACGUG
rnacentral:rRNA from 1 species